rnacentral:rRNA from 1 species
GACGAACGCUGGCGGCGUGCUUAACACAUGCAAGUCGAACGAAGUGACGAACGGGUGAGUAAUACGUGAGUAACCUGCCCUCCUCUUUGGGAUAAGCCUUGGAAACGGGGUCUAAUACCGACUAGAGGGGGUUGGGCUCGCUGGCUAUCGGGUGGUUGGUGGGGUGAUGGACUUCAAAUGCGGUGACGGGUCGCCGGCCGGGGAGGGUGACCGGCGGCAUGGGGACCGGGAUACGGCCCAGAGGCCGACGGGAGGAGGCAGUGGUGGGUAUUGCACAAUGGGCUAAAGCCGGAUGGAGCGGCGCGUGGUGGGGGUUUACGGCUUUCGGGUUGUAAUCGUCUGACGCUAUCGAACGGGUAUGUAGAGAAGAAGCGCCGGCUAACUACGUGCCAGCAGCCGCGGUAAUUC